ensembl:snRNA U4 U4 spliceosomal RNA
AGCUUUGCGCAGUGGCAGUAUCGUAGCCAAUGAGGUUUAUCCGAGGCGCGAUUAUUGCUAAUUGAGAAAGAACACACACGUGAUUUGCUAACUGAUCAGGCCAAGUUCAGGUCUCUCGAUCCCUAG